GACGAACGCUGGCGGCGUGCUUAACACAUGCAAGUCGAGCGGUAAGGCUCCUUCGGGAGUACACGAGCGGCGAACGGGUGAGUAACACGUGAGUAAUCUGCCCUUCACUUCGGGAUAACCACCGGAAACGGUGGCUAAUACCGAAUACGACCAGUCUUCGCAUGAGGUGCUGGUGGAAAGUCUUUUCGGUGAAGGAUGUGCUCGCGGCCUAUCAGCUUGUUGGUGGGGUAAUGGUCUACCAAGGCUUCGACGGGUAGCCGGCCUGAGAGGGUGACCGGCCACACUGGGACUGAGACACGGCCCAGACUCCUACGGGAGGCAGCAGUGGGGAAUAUUGGACAAUGGGCGAAAGCCUGAUCCAGCAACGCCGCGUGAGGGAUGACGGCCUUCGGGUUGUAAACCUCUUUCAGUACCGACGAAGCGCCCUGUCGGGUGGUGACGGUAGGUACAGAAGAAGGACCGGCCAACUACGUG
rnacentral:rRNA from 1 species